GUGAGCAUUGUUACACGAUUUAGUGCAAAACAAAUCGAUGGAGAUUCUAAAUUAGAAAUCAUUCGACCAAAUUUAAAGCAUCACAUGAAUAUUUGGUUUUCCUCGUAUGAAUAACUAAACUGCAAAACAAAAACACAUUGAUUUACCAAGUUGGUCAAGAUUCAAUGAUCCGGAAUCGAAAACUAAAACCGAACCAUCAUUAGUUACAAGCGGCUACCUAUCUAUUUCUGGCGCGAAGGAGUCUUUAACCUUAACCACUUAACUGUGAGAUCGUCCACCCAUCUGAGUAAUGGAAAAAAUGGAUAUACUAUGGAUAUACGGAGAUAUGAGCCAAAGAGGAUCGACGUCAGGCAGACGGGGGCCGAUCCUACGAGAUAUCCGUGCCUAGGGGGUACACGGGGCAUGUGGGACUUGACAUGCUGCAGAUAUUGGGAGCAGACUACAAGCCUAUUGAAAUUCACAAAGUAAUUUGACCAGGACGUCCGAUUAACUUGAAAAUCACGUAUUAUGGACCUAUGGAUGACAUCGA